rnacentral:rRNA from 1 species
GUAGUCUGCAACUCGACUACAUGAAGCUAGAAUCGCUAGUAAUCGCGAAUCAGCAUGUCGCGGUGAAUACGUUCCCGGGUCUUGUACACACCGCCCGUCACACCAUGGGAGUUGGUAACGCCCGAAGCCAGUGACCCAACUGGAAACGGAGGGAGCUGUCGAAGGUGGGACCGAUAACUGGGGUGAAGUCGUAACAAGGUAAC